GGUAGCCCACCUGGGAGGAAUUUUCCAGAGAUCACUGUCUGAUGACCCUGUCUUGGAAUUGGAGCCAUGCAAGUUACACUGACCACGUUUGGGUUGGGAUAUUGAGGAGGUUAUGGUUAAAAGCAUACGAUGGGAGAUCAUAUUGUACUUGCGAGUGAGACCCGGCUGGAGGAAUGUUUUAAUUCUUCGGAAAUACCAAGUGGUCUCUACAGAACACUGAAGAUUCUGCUCUCAGGGUGUUGAUUGACGUCUGGAAGGCAGAGACUCGUGGAUUAGCAAGCAUGUGUAAGAAAGUGCUCUGGAUGCCACAGGGUGGUAAUUUGUGCAUGGAAAAUGGCUGGGGUGAAGAGGAGACUAGGCUACUCGGGAGGCUGAGGCAUGAGAAUCGCUUGAACCCGGGAGAUGGAGGUUGCACUGAGCCGAGACUCCAGCCUGGGCGACAGAGUGAGACCUCGUCUC
rnacentral:lncRNA from 10 species